UGAUGAAGCGUUACUCCGGUAAAGCGGUCGUGUUACAAGCUAUCAAUCCUUGAGCUAUGUUAUUGGGAGACGUACUAGCUGUUUUCAACUUGAUUUGAGUUGUAACAGGCAAAUAUGUGGGGUUAACAAAGCUCAUAGAUGGCCAUGUUAGUCUGAUCUUCCAGAUUUAUGCAGGCCAGGACGCAUGGAGGUUCAAGUUGGAAUCGGGUUGCCAGACGAGAUCGGUCGCGUUCAGAUUUUAAGCAUCCACUCUUACCAGAUGAAGAAAAACUCUUUUCUGGGUGUCGAUGUGGGUCUUGAAGAACUUGGUGAUCUUGUAGUUUCCGGGAGUUCAAGCCAGGUUGUGGUCAUUGGUGUAAUGCUGCUCGCUGUUUUGGAGGUCGCAAGCAUUGAUGGCUAUUCACGUAAGUAGAGUUUGUCUUGUGCAUGGUGCAUUCUCGUUGUAGCUGAUCAGCUGACUGCGUUUAUUGGUUCAGCGUGUCGGACCAAGAACUUCAGCGUAGCAGAAUAGGAAGGUGUAUUGAAGAGUGCAAGCUCUUUUGCUCUAAACAGGUGAUUGAAUGUUUACCAUUCACGAAGAGAGCUAGUUUUCUCGUCUUGCACGCAAAUUUUAGGUUGUUUGUUGACUUUGUCAUGUGCUUUGGAUGACGUGCGGACACCUUUUUUGACUUUGCAACAGGUGGGGUCUUAAAUUUUGGAGAUGAGAUGUAAGGCUUGUUGAAAUUGAUCUUAGAAGCUCACAGUUUGUUCAUGGAAUAUGUCGUUCGGCGCUCAUUGAACUGCAUCCUGAAAUUGUGAAGUGAUUGAAACAAACCUCAUUAGCGUGGCUUUCGACCGAUGGAAUAUUAUGGGGUAUAGUGCUAGUAGUUCAGUCAGGAUCUGGGCUUUUGAUGAGGUCUUUGAUUGUACGAACACAUACUGUAGUGAGAAUGUGCACUGCAUAUUUUUUCAAUGUUACAUCAUACCUCCUGCUCUUGACUUCGUGUUUUCUUGUGAGGGAAGUGGAUUUAGCCGAUCUUUCAAAAGCAAUGGACGAGGAUAAUACAAAAGUAAAACGGGAAGUCUUUUUGAAGGGUGUUGAUGAAGUGGAGCCUGCAUUGGGUGCAGGCAUGAAUACGCUGAAGAUGUACUGGUUCUUUCUUGAAGGGGUAAAACAGCACUUGCUGCAACCAUCGCUAUCGAAAGUGGGUUUCCAUUCAUAAAGAUUGUAAGUUCAAUGCCUUUCUAUCCUGCUGAAAAAUGUAGUCGCACCCUCUGUGAUUAUGCAAACCGAUACGUCAUUAAUAUUGAAAAGUUGAACAUGCAGCGACACAAGAAUGUGAAAAUGUUUUCCUGCUUGAAGCUGGUGCUGGUUGUAAUGGUAUUUAACUUCACUACAAGUAUGUAUAUCAGAUAUCUUCAGAGGACAUGGUCGGCUGGGAUGAGUCCAAGAAAGAUGCUACGAUUACAAAGGGACAUUGCGUAUUGAUUUAAGGAAAUACUCAUUGCUGAACAUCUUGGCAUUAGCAUCGAAAAGAAAUUUGGUGGCUUCUGCACCUGCAAUACUCACGUCUCGUGUCGUCUGGGUUGUGUGCAUUUCUCCGUAUGGUUUCAUGACUGAUGUUGGUUGCAAUGGCUGUGCAGGUGUUCAAGGAUGCUCACAAGUCUCCUUUAAGUGUCAUCAUCCUAGUUGACAUUGAAAGAUGGGAGCAUUGGAUUGAUGACAUUAAAGAAUGAAAAUUUUUGUUCCCAAUUGAUAAAGUAUGUUAGCUUUCUGCUCUUGACAAGUGCAGGUUGGAGGGUGGGUAACCACUGGCCCCAAUUGGUUGGGAAAAGCUACGUGAAAUGUGAUAAUUACAGCAUUUGAGAGCACCAAACUCAAAUAACAUUGCGGGAUUAUUAUUUUUGUGCAAGUUGAAUUAGUACGCCAGCAUUGGCCCUCUUUUAUCGAAUCUUACUUUGCAGACACUUGGUCUGGUGAAAGGGAAUCCUCCCAAGGUAAGUGGUCACUAAACCUUCGAAUUAGGUGCCAUUUUUAGAUGUCGACCAGUAGAUUGGGAAGCAAAUGUGAUGCCAGAUGGGUUUGUUGCGAUCUCUCCCACUAGUUGUCCCAAUCACAAGGAUCUUUCAAGGUGCGACUGAAGGUUCUCAAGUUGAGAUUUAGCGACAUGAACGAGGUAUAGUUGUUCUUCUUUCAAAUAGCAAUUGGAACGUAUUGAGGUCAUACCUAAGAGCUGAAAUGUCGAAUUAUUGAGAAGUGCGAUUUUCAGAUCAGCUGCACCUGUUGAGCUUGUGUUCAUGUGGGAUCCGGUGUUGCAGGUUUUGGUACCAAGCUCAGAAUGUGUUUCGUCACACGGAUGUUUAUACUGCUCUUGGUCCAGAGAUUGGUACCCAAAAUCACAGCUUUUGGUCGUUGCUGGAUGGGAAAUAAUAUAGCAUAGCAUCUUGGGUGGCAGCAGUGUUCUGAGUCUUCUCCCCGUAAUUUCCACUCUCGCAUGCCUUGGUUUGUGUUUGCCUACUUGUUAAUUGGUAUGCAUUAAUUUCAAAGGAGAUAUAUUUAUUUGUCUAUCUA